GUCGAAUGGAAUGCCUAAACAUUCCAUGGCAGACUGCUCAGUAACACAUGAUUAACUUGCCCUAUGGAAAAAAAUAACCUCGGGAAGCUGAGGAUAAUGUUUUAUAGUUGAAAAGGCUUGGAAAAGUUUUUCAAUGAAAGGAGAAAGGAAAAUGGUUCUUUCUUGCCAUAGGAUAGGAUCGUGGUCGAUUAUGGUAGUUGGUGAGGUAAUGGCUCACCAAGCCGAUAAUCGAUAGGGGCCGUGAGAGCGGGAGCCCCGAGAUGGGUACUGAGACAACGACCCAGACCUUACGAGGUGCAGCAGGCGCGAAACCUCCGCAAUACACGAAAGUGUGACGGGGUUACCCAAAGUGUCCUUAUUGGACUGUGGUAGGUGAGUAAUAUCCCCUACUAGAAAGGAGAGGGCAAGGCUGGUGCCAGCCGCCGCGGUAAAACCAGCUCUUCAAGUGGUCGGGAUGAUUAUUGGGCUUAAAGUGUCCGUAGCCGGUUUAGUAAGUUCCUGGUAAAAUCGGGUAGCUUAACUAUCUGUGUGCUAGGAAUACUGCUAAUACUAGAGGGCGGGAGAGGUCUGAGGUACUGCAGGGGUAGGGGUGAAAUCUUAUAAUCCUUGUAGGACCACCAGUGGCGAAGGCGUCAGACUGGAACGCGCCUGACGGUGAGGGACGAAAGCCAGGGGAGCGAACCGGAUUAGAUACCCNGGUAGUCCUGGCCGUAAACGAUGCAUACUAGGUGAUGGUAUGGCCAUGAGCCAUAUCAGUGCC
rnacentral:rRNA from 1 species